rnacentral:misc_RNA from 1 species
CGCACAUUGCACCCUCUGGUAUUCCGGGGGGUAUGCCUGUUCGAGCGUCAUUACAACCCUCAAGCUCUGCUUGGUACUGGGCACCACCGGUCACGGUGUGCCUUAAAAUCAGUGGCGGUGCCACUCGGCUUCAAGCGUAGUAAUACUUCUCGCUUCUGGAGUCUGGGUGUGCGCCUGCCAUAACCUCAAUUUUAUCAAUGGUUGACCUCGGAUCAGGUAGGGAUACCCGCUGAACUUAA